rnacentral:sRNA from 1 species
GGCUGCUGUUUCUAAAACCCUUUUCCCUCUAACCCACACCACCUUUCUACUUACUGAUGCCUUCAGGAAGCCAUAAUGGAUGGCACAGAGAUUGCUGUUUCCCCUCGGUCACUGCAUUCAGAACUCAUGUGCCCUAUCUGCCUGGACAUGCUGAAGAAUACGAUGACCACCAAGGAGUGCCUCCACAGAUUCUGCUCUGACUGCAUUGUCACAGCCCUACGGAGCGGGAACAAGGAGUGUCCUACCUGCCGAAAGAAGCUGGUGUCCAAGCGAUCCCUACGGCCAGACCCCAACUUCGAUGCCCUGAUCUCUAAGAUCUAUCCUAGCCGGGAGGAAUACGAGGCCCAUCAGGACCGAGUGCUUAUCCGCCUGAGCCGCCUGCACAACCAGCAGGCAUUGAGCUCCAGCAUUGAGGAGGGGCUACGCAUGCAGGCCAUGCACAGGGCCCAGCGUGUGAGGCGGCCGAUACCCGGGUCAGAUCAGACCACAGCGAUGAGUGGGGGGGAAGGAGAGCCCGGGGAGGGAGAAGGGGAUGGAGAAGAUGUAAGCUCAGACUCCGCCCCUGACUCUGCCCCAGGCCCUGCUCCCAAGCGACCCCGUGGAGGGGGCGCAGGGGGGAGCAGUGUAGGGACAGGGGGAGGUGGCACUGGUGGGGUGGGUGGGGGUGCCGGUUCAGAAGACUCUGGUGACCGGGGAGGGACUCUGGGAGGGGGAACGCUGGGCCCCCCAAGCCCUCCUGGGGCCCCCAGCCCCCCGGAGCCAGGUGGAGAAAUUGAGCUCGUGUUCCGGCCUCACCCCCUGCUCGUGGAGAAGGGAGAAUACUGCCAGACUAGGUAUGUGAAGACAACUGGGAAUGCCACAGUGGACCAUCUCUCCAAGUACUUGGCCCUGCGCAUUGCCCUCGAGCGGAGGCAACAGCAGGAAGCAGGGGAGCCAGGAGGGCCUGGAGGGGGCGCCUCUGACACCGGAGGACCUGAUGGGGGUGGCGGGGAGGGUGGGGGUGCCGGAGGAGGUGACGGUCCUGAGGAGCCUGCUUUGCCCAGCCUAGAGGGCGUCAGUGAAAAGCAGUACACCAUCUACAUCGCACCUGGAGGCGGGGCGUUCACGACGUUGAAUGGCUCGCUGACCCUGGAGCUGGUGAAUGAGAAAUUCUGGAAGGUGUCCCGGCCACUGGAGCUGUGCUAUGCUCCCACCAAGGAUCCAAAGUGACCCCACCAGGGGACAGCCAGAGGAAGGGGACCAUGGGGUAUCCCUGUGUCCUGGUCUAUCACCCCAGCUUCUUUGUCCCCCAGUACCCCCAGCCCAGCCAGCCAACAAAGAGGACACAAAUGAGGACACGUGGCUUUUAUACAAAGUAUCUAUAUGAGAUUCUUCUAUAUUGUACAGAGUGGGGCAAAACACGCCCCCAUCUGCUGCCUUUUCUAUUGCCCUGCAACCUCCCAUCUAUACAAGGUGUUGGAGAAGGUGAAGAACCCUCCCCUUCACACCCGCCUACCAACAACAAACGUGCUUUUUUCCUCUUUGAAACCUGCA